UAUGAACGCAACAUCAAUUCAUUGAAGGGACUUCUUGAAGAUCUUCGACAUGUUAAAGACCUUAAAUUAUGUAGUUGGUGUAUUCAGCUUCUAUCUUCAAGGGAGUUACAAGGUCUUGAUGCUUUAUCCAUGAAUUCCACACACUUGGAUCUGAAGACAGGAUUGAGUAAAUGGGAGCUCCCGGGCAUUGCCCACUUGCUAAAGAGUUGUUGUUCCCUUGAGACUCUUAUUCUACAUUUGGACAAGAAACCUCUAUUGGAGGUACAUACUACAAAACAAUAACAAUAAUCUAAUUCAGAGGAAUUAUUAACUA